AAUAAUAUAGAAGAAUUAAUAAGGUUAAAACAAAUAACUAAGGAAUGCUAUGACAUAGCAUUUCAACAAAUAUGAUAAAUCUUGUUUUACAAGUACCCCUAUGAUAGAUCUAGUUUUACAAGUACCCCCCAUCCCUAUAUGUCUUGGAAACUUAACACUUCUUCGGGUAAUUGAUCUCACUCAAAAUUAGUUUCCCUCUGCACUUAUAAGCUUGUGUGAUGUAAAAUAUCUUCAAGAAGUAAGUCUCAGAAGAAAUAACUUAGUUGGAAAACUCCCUACGUGUCUUAGAAAUUUAGCACUUCUUCAAAUAACAGAUCGCUGUCCAAAAUUAGUUUACUGGAAAUAUUGUCUCAUCUCCACUUGCAAGUCACUUAUCCCUUGAAUAUCUCUUGUUUGCGGGCAACAACUUUGAAGUACCAAGUUCAUUCGAGUUGUUUGCUAACCAUUCAAAGCUUAAGAUUGUUUUUGCUGACCAAAACUUAGUAAUUGGACAAACUUCUUCAAAAAGUUCAGUACCAAAGUUUCAAUUGGAAGACUUAUCUUUAAACAACUACUCUAAAAUGCCAAGUUUCCUACAUUAUCAACAUCAUUUAAGACUUCUUUGUCUCUCGAAAUGCAACAUUGGUGGGAGAUUUUUGAAUUGGUUGCUACAAAACAAUCCUAGACUUGGAGAAGUUUACUUGGAUAGAAAUCCAUUCACAUGAUCUCUUCAACUUUCCUUCCUUCCUAAUAUGAAGGUAUUUGCUAUCUUGAACUACAAGAUUCAAGGACGACUUCCUCCUUAUGAUAGGUCCAUUUUCCUAAAUUUGAUACUAUCAGUGGUGUCCAGUAAUGUACUUUAAGGCUUAUUGCCUUCAAGUUUGGGUGACAUGAAAGACCUUGAAUACUUGGAUUUGUCAGGCAAUAAACUAAUUGGUGGCCUACCAAGUGGAUUGGCUCGUAAAAGAUCCAAUUUGUAUUUUCAGCAAUUAUUGAAUGACACGUUGAAGGGGAAAAUAUUUCCUGUUUCAGCCGACAUCAAGAAUUUUAAAUAUUUAUACUUGAAUGAGAACAUCUUCUUAGGCCCAAUUCUACAGAAGUUAUCCACUGGUCCGUUAAGUAUAUUGGAUUUAAGUUGCAAUAACUUUUCAGGAAAAAUACCGAUGUGUCUUGGUAAUAUCCGCUCCUUGACCUCCCUGGAAAUGUCCACGAACCAUUUUAAUAGCCAUAUUCCUCCUGAUUAUUGUAGACUUGAAGGACUUGAGAUUUGUAAGUGUUGGAUCUAAGAGAUAACAACUUCUAUGGUUCCAUUCCAAAA